rnacentral:misc_RNA from 1 species
UCCCGAAUGGCUUCGUGUCGAGUAACGCAAUGUCUUGAUACUGAGAAGCUCCAGUAUGCAGUAUGCUAUUAAGAGCAAAUGACCAUCUUAAAUUCUCUUCAAUUUCUUCCUCAUACCAACAGCUUUUGCGAUACCCAUUUAAGGAAUGGGCCUUCUCAAUAAGUUCAUUACCAUUGUUAACCAAAUUAGCAGAGGAAACAUCAGCCAUUGUUGAUGCAGAGAGAAG